rnacentral:hammerhead_ribozyme from 1 species
AUCCAUCUGAUGAGUCUCAAAUAGGACGAAAUGCGUGUGCUGAAU